AGCCGUUUUUAAGCAACCGUCUUUUUUUACAGAUCGCUCUGCUAUGAACAUGCUUUUUGCGUUGACAAUUAUACAAGGAGUGUGGUUGGUUUCGCUUUGUGAGAAGGGGAAGCUAAAAGAAAAGAACCCUUUUCCCGGAUUUCCAUGGGAAAAGAAUCCAGGAAAGUCGGAAGCGCCUGGAAACUACAGUGUGUCUCUCCGAAAUACAAACAGAGUCUGUAUCAAGGCUCACUUCACGAUGACAUUCGAUAUUGAGUAUUUUGCGCGCAAUCC